rnacentral:rRNA from 1 species
CCAGCCUGAAGGCGCCCGAUCUCGUCUGAUCUCGGAACUAAGCAGGGUCGG